rnacentral:rRNA from 1 species
AACGAACGCUGGCGGCAGGCUUAACACAUGCAAGUCGAACGCCCCGCAAGGGGAGUGGCAGACGGGUGAGUAACGCGUGGGAAUCUACCCAGAUCUUCGGAACAACUGAGGGAAACUUCAGCUAAUACCGGAUACGCCCUACGGGGGAAAGAUUUAUCGGUUCUGGAUGAGCCCGCGUUGGAUUAGCUAGUUGGUGAGGUAACGGCUCACCAAGGCGACGAUCCAUAGCUGGUCUGAGAGGAUGAUCAGCCACACUGGGACUGAGACACGGCCCAGACUCCUACGGGAGGCAGCAGUGGGGAAUAUUGGACAAUGGGCGAAAGCCUGAUCCAGCCAUGCCGCGUGAGUGAUGAAGGCCUUAGGGUUGUAAAGCUCUUUCAGUAGGGAAGAUAAUGACGGUACCCACAGAAGAAGCCCCGGCUAACUUCGUGCCAGCAGCCGCAGUAACAC